UCGAGAAUUUUUCACAAUGGGGGAAACCCUGAUGGAGCGACGCCGCGUGGAGGAUGAAGGCGUUUUCGUCGUAAACUCCUGUCAAAUGGGAACAAGAAAGUGAUAGUACCAUUAGAGGAAGAGACGGCUAACUCUGUGCCAGCAGCCGCGGUAAUACAGAGGUCUCAAGCGUUGUUCGGAUUCAUUGGGCGUAAAGGGUGCGUAGGUGGUUUGGUAAGUUGAAGGUGAAAUCUCGGAGCUUAACUCCGAAACUGCCUUCAAUACUGCCGGACUUGAGGACUGUAGAGGAGAAUGGAAUUCACGGUGUAGCAGUGAAAUGCGUAGAUAUCGUGAGGAAGACCAGUGGCGAAGGCGAUUCUCUGGGCAGUUCCUGACACUGAGGCACGAAGGCUAGGGGAGC
rnacentral:rRNA from 1 species